rnacentral:lncRNA from 1 species
UCAUUUUCUAAGGGGGACUUGUGAAUAUCUCAGGACCCACAAUCAAAUGAUGUGGCUCUUCAGCCUGGUUUCUGCCCACAUAUUAACUUUUGACAUAUACCUAAAGAAGCACCUAGGUGAUAUGACUCUCUUUUUCUGCCUGAGCCCAGCCUACUGGUGACAUUGGACGAAAUUUGUGAGCCGAUAGCCUAAGGAAAUUAUUAUGUAUUGCUGAGCCCAGUACCCAGCUGGUGUGAUUCUCUUUUUCUUCUUCAAACCUGUCUACAAUGGUCAUGGUGACACAUUACUUCAGGCUGUACCCAGUUUUUGCCCACAAGUGGGACUAUGACAUAUACCUUAGAUAUUUUGUCUUUCAUCACCAGGCUUAGGGCAAUAGCUCUGCCAAGAGGGGAUUAUUACAUACUGCAGAGCCCAGCACCCAGCUAGGCCCAGCCUACAAAUGAGAUUAUACUGUAUAAUCUCAGGUGAUGUGACUCUCCUGCCUUGUCCCUGCUCACAGGUGAAAUUGUGACAUAUACCUGGGUUAAUCACACGUGUGCAACAAUAACUCUCAUACCUGGACCCAGCCAGUAGAGAUAUUUUGAUGCUCAUAGCCUGUCUCAAGGCCAUGGCUAAAGUCCUGGGUUAUUCACUUGUAUAAAGUUCACGAAGGAUUAUAACACUCAGGUAUAUCAUAUAAAUGUGUUAAUGUUACAGAGAGUGUCAUAACAGAGACCAGCAGUGAGGUGAGAGUGUGACUUUUAUAUGCACACCUAGCUUACGUGAUUGUCACUUUCAUACAUGAACAGGGCCUUGGAAUGAGGUACUAAAUCUCACACAUAAAAGGCAGUCAAAGGUUGAAAUAAUUUCUCUCAUACAUGGAUCUGAUUCACAGGUGGUUUGGUAACAUUUGAACCAUGAUUCAGCACACCUGUGGUGCUGUGACUCCCUUAAUGGAACACAAUCUUCAAGUGUGUUUGGGCAUCUUAUACAUGGAACUUGCCCAUUGUGGAGACUGUGACUCCUCUACUUCAAUCCAACUCAUAGAAAAUGUUGACUAACAUACACGAAACCAGGACUCAUGUCGGAUGUGAAACUUAUUUCUGAACUUUUCAGAGUGUGAUUGGGACAGAAGAAAGGAAAGAAAAAGAAAGAGAGAAAGAAAGAAGGAAGAAAGAAGGAAUGAAAGAAAGAGAAAGAAAGAAAGAAAGAGAAAAAGAAAAUUAUGUCUUCUAUCUAGUUCUGUCAUGUAAGUGAUGUGGGUCCCUUCUAUUGCCUUGGCCCUGCACUUACAGUGCAUUGUGACACAAAACUGGGCUCUGCACCCAGGUGAUGUGAUUCUCCUUUUUGGGUUCUGCCAAAAGAAAGCACUGAAACAUAUCACUUGGCUCAACAUCUAGGUGAUGUUUGUUCGCCUUUGACUGUGCCCUGACCACGGGGAGAUUGUGACAUAUUGCUGGGUCCAGCACCAAUGUGAGGUCAGUCUCCAGCUUUGGUACUGGGCAGAAGAGACAUUGUCACAUAUACCUAGGCCAAUUGCCUAGGUGAAGUAAGUCUCCUCUCUUUCCAAAGUUCUGCCCACAUAGGAAUUUGUCAUGUCACUGAAACCAACAUCCAGCCCACAAAAAAGGAAUUUUGACCUAUUGCAGGGCCCAUCACCCAGAUGAUUUUACUCUUCUGCCCGAAUUCUUCACAAAGAGAAAAUUAUGGCAUAUUUCAUAUUGCUGGGCCCGGCACCCUUAUGAUGUGACUCUUCUGCCUGUGCUGGAGCCACCGAAGUCAAUUAAGGGACCUAAUGCAAACUGUUGUAUCCCAUAACCCAAGGUUCCUGGAAGAAGGUAUGCUAGAUGUAGAGCUCUGGGAACAGGUGCGGAGAAAUCUUAAACAACAUCAUGUGCAAGGGCAAUGGGUCCCAGUAACAUCUUUAACGUUAUGGGCUUUAGGGCAGUUCUGGUCCUGCUGUACACAGAAGAGCCUAAAAAGGGAAGGGAGGAAGAACCAUCACCUACCUUACUGCCUCCUUAUCCCUCAGCCCCGCCAUCACUGGGCCAAAAUAACAAAGAGGAAAUGGAGGUUGUGCCUGAGCCUGCUCCUCCAAUAGACUGAAUAAAAGACAAGGGAUACACUACAGCUAUGGGACCCUGUCUUUGGCAAGUGGCAUUAGAAGGGGAGCUCUUACCCUGUCCGGUAAUGCAAGAUCAACAAGGCAAUCAGUUCUCUUUGAAUUCCAGCAUGAUGCAUCGAACCAUACCAUGACAUGGCUAGGACCCAACCUGGUACCAGAAAUGAAGAAAAUGACCCUACAGGACCCACAGCCCUGGACAAUGUGGCUUCCUUGGACAACACAGGCCCCAGACAUUAUGCUGAAGAAGCAGAAGGCUUAGCAAAUCCUGCUCCAAGCCGAAAUGCCAGUCACUCCAAAUAAUUUGUUCCGUUUUUAUUCUCUCACUCUGCCUACAACUGAUGAAAAGCCAGAAUACAAGCAGUGACCACCACACCUGACAGACCUGUUGCUGCACAUAUCUGUACUCUCCAAUCAACAAAACCUGAUGCUAAAAACAGAAAAGGGGAGAUGUAGGAGAUUGGUCAGGGUGAUGGGAAAAAUUGUAGAAAGAUGCAAACCUUGGAAGGCUGGAAGAUUUUACAAAAGCUUCAGAAUAGGAUUUGGCUGAAGGCAGCCAGAUUCUCUUAUCCUGUGCCUUAAAGCUUAAGUUAGAUAACAAGGGGAU